rnacentral:rRNA from 1 species
GACGAACGCUGGCGGCGUGCUUGACACAUGCAAGUCGAACGGAAAGGCCUGCUUUCCCUUGUGGAUUGCGGGUACUCGAGUGGCGAACGGGUGAGUAACACGUGAGUGAUCUGCCCCCAACUUGGGUAUAAGCCUGGGAAACUGGGUCUAAUUCCCGAUAGGACUGCAGGGUGGUGCCUGUGGUGGAAAACGAUUUUCUAGUGGUUGGGGAUGAGCUCGCGGCCUAUCAGCUUGUUGGUGGGGUAAUGGCCUACCAAGGCGGCGACGGGUAGCCGGCCUGAGAGGGUGGACGGCCACAUUGGGACUGAGAUACGGCCCAGACUCCUACGGGAGGCAGCAGUGGGGAAUAUUGGACAAUGGGCGGAAGCCUGAUGCAGCGACGCCGCGUGGGGGAUGACGGCCUUCGGGUUGUAAACUCCUUUCGACCGCGAGGAAGCCACCUGGUUGGAAGGGUGGUGACGGUAGUGGUAGAAGAAGCACCGGCUAACUACGUG